rnacentral:pre_miRNA from 1 species
UCCCAAACGGUAACACUCUAAAGGGAGGCACUUUGUUUGAGAGAAAACAAACAGAAAGCACUUCCCUUUGGAGGGUCACAGCAUGAGA